AUCUCCCCCUCUCUGCUCAGCGCCCCUUCAGCGAAGCAGCAGGAGAAACGGAGCCCCUUCCAUUUCUCCUGCCGCUUCGCUGAAGGGGCGCUGAGCAGAGAGGGGGAGAA
rnacentral:miRNA from 1 species